UGGGGGAAUCUUGGACAAUGGGGGCAACCCUGAUCCAGCCAUGCCGCGUGAGUGAUGAAGGCCUUAGGGUCGUAAAGCUCUUUCGCCUGUGAAGAUAAUGACGGUAGCAGGUAAAGAAACCCCGGCUAACUCCGUGCCAGCAGCCGCGGUAAUACGGAGGGGGGUUAGCGUUGUUCGGAAUUACUGGGCGUAAAGCGCACGUAGGCGGACCAGAAAGUUGGGGGUGAAAUCCCGGGGGCUCAACCCCGGAACUGCCUUUGAAACUGUCUGGCUAGAGUUCGGGAGAGGUGAGUGGAAUUCCAAGUGUAGAGGUGAAAUUCGUAGAUAUUUGGAGGAACACCAGUGGCGAAGGCGGCUCACUGGCUCGAUACUGACGCUGAGGUGCGAAAGUGUGGGGGAGCAAACAGGAUUAGAUACCCUGGUAGUCCACACCGUAAACGAUGAAUGCCAGUCGUCGGGUAGCAUGCUAUUCGGUGACACACCUAACGGAUUAAGCAUUCCGCCUGGGGAGUACGGUCGCAGA
rnacentral:rRNA from 1 species